rnacentral:rRNA from 1 species
GACGAACGCUGGCGGCGUGCUUAACACAUGCAAGUGGAGCGACGAACCGGGCUUCGGCCCGGGGCAAAGCCGCGAACGGGUGAGUAUCACGUGGGUAACCUGCCCCGAUGACCGGGACAACCCGAGGAAACUCGGGCUAAUACCGGAUGUGCUCUCAAUCCACCAGGGUUGAGAGAAAAGGAAGCUUCGGCCUCCGCAUUGGGAUGGGCCCGCGGCCCAUUAGCUUGUUGGUGAGGUAACGGCUCACCAAGGCCCCGAUGGGUAGCUGGUCUGAGAGGACGAUCAGCCACACUGGGACUGAGACACGGCCCAGACUCCUACGGGAGGCAGCAGUGGGGAAUCUUGCGCAAUGCGCGAAAGCGUGACGCAGCAACGCCGCGUGAGGGAAGAAGGCCUUCGGGUUGUAAACCUCUCUCAGGAGGGACGAAGGUUCAGGCGCGAAUAGCGUGCUGGACUGACGGUACCUCCAGAAGAAGCCCCGGCUAACUACGUGCCAGCAGCCGCGGUAACAC